CCGUUUUUUCUUUCUUUAUUUGUUUGUCUGUCUGUUUUUUCUUUCUUUAUCUGUUUGUCUGUCUGUUUUUUCUUUCUUUAUCUGUUUGUCUGUUUGUUUUUUCUCUCUUUAUCUGUUUGUUUGUCUGUUUUUUCUUUCUUUAUCUGUCUGUCUCUGUUUUUUCUUUCUUUAUCUGUUUGUCUUUCUUUAUCUGUUUGUCUGUCUGUUUUUUCUUUCUUUAUCUGUCUGUCUCUGUUUUUUCUUUCUUUAUCUGUUUGUCUUUCUUUAUCUGUUUGUCUGUCUGUUUUUUCUUUCUUUAUCUGUUUGCCUGUCUGUUUUUUGUUUCUUUAUCUGUCUGUCUCUGUUUUUUCUUUCUUUAUCUGUUUGUCUGUCUGUUUUUUCUUUCUUUAUCUGUCUGUCUCUGUUUUUUCUUUCUUUAUCUGUUUGUCUGUCUGUUUUUUCUCUCUUUAUCUGUUUGUCUGUCUGUUUUUUCUUUCUUUAUCUGUUUCUUUGUCUGUUUUUUUUCUCUCUUUACCUGUUUGUCUGUCUCUUUUUUUCUCUCUUUAUCUGUUUGUCUGUUUGUUUUUUCUCUCUUUAUCUGCUUGUCUGUCUGUUUUUUCUUUCUUUAUCGGUUUGUCUGUCUGUCUGUUUUUUCUUUCUUUAUCAGUUUGUCUGUUUUUUUUCUCUCUUUAUCUGUUUGUCUGUCUGUUUUUUCUCUCUUUAUCUGUUUGUCUGUCUGUUUUUUCUUUCUUUAUCUGUCUGUUGUUUGUCCGUUUGUUUUUCUUUCUUUAUCUGUUUGUCUGUUUGUUUUUUCUCUCUUUAUCUGUUUGUCUGUCUGUUUUUUCUUUCUUUAUCUGUUUGUCUGUUUUUUUCUCUCUUUAUCUGUUUCUCUGUCUGUUUUUUCUUUCUUUAUCUGUUUGUUUGUUUGUCUGUCUGUUUUUUCUUUCUUUAUCUGUUUGUCUGUCUGUUUUUUCUCUCUUUAUCUGUUUGUCUGUCUGUUUUUUCUCUCUUUAUCUGUUUGUCUGUCUGUUUUUUCUUUCUUUUUCUGUUUGUCUGUCUGUUUUUUCUUUCUUUAUCUGUUUGUCUGUCUGUUUUUUUCUUUCUUUAUCUGUCUGUCUCUGUUUUUUCUUUCUUUAUCUGUUUGUCUGUUUGUUUUUUCUUUCUUUAUCUGUUUGUCUGUUUGUUUUUUCUCUCUUUAUCUGUUUGUCUGUCUGUUUUUUCUUUCUUUAUCUGUUUGUCUGUCUGUUUUUUCUUUCUUUGUCUGUCUGUUUUUUCUUUCUUUAUCUGUCUGUCUCUGUUUUUUCUUUCUUUAUCUGUUUGUCUGUUUGUUUUUUCUUUCUUUAUCUGUUUGUCUGUCUGUUUUUUCUCUCUUUAUCUGUUUGUCUGUCUGUUUUUUCUUUCUUUAUCUGUUUGUCUGUUUCUUUUUUCUUUCUUUAUUUGUUUGUCUGUCUGGUUUUUUUUCUCUUUAUCUGUUUGUCUGUCUGUUUUUUCUCUCUUUAUCUGUUUGUCUGUUUGUUUUUUCUCUCUUUAUCUGCUUGUCUGUCUGUUUUUUCUUUCUUUAUCGGUUUGUCUGUCUGUUUUUUUUCUUUCUUUAUCUGUUUGUCUGUCUGUUUUUUCUUUCUUUAUCUGUUUCUUUGUCUGUGUUUUUUCUUUCUUUAUCUGUUUGUCUGUNNNNNNNNNNNNNNNNNNNNUUUCUUUUUCUGUUUGUCUGUCUGUUUUUUCUUUCUUUAUCUGUUUGUCUGUCUGUUUUUUCUUUCUUUAUCUGUUUGUCUGUCUGUUUUUUUUCCUUCUUUAUCUGUCUGUUUGUAUCACAGAUUUUCCCACAGAUUAUACCACAGACUUUACCACAGAUUAUAUCACAGAUUAUAGCACAGAAUAUAGAUUACCACAGAAUAUUGUUAUAUGUUGUUGAAUUUAAUGUAUAGGAAUACUGAAAUCGUGAUGUAUUUCUCCUUAGGCAUUUUUGAUUUUCGUUAUCUAUGGUUGCCAGAAUGAAGAGGUAAAAAUGUUAAAUUAUGUGUAAAAUACUUCACUGCAUAUGAAAUUUUCCACUCUCGCUCCCAGUUAAUAUAAUUUCACAUGUUAACUUUUCCUCAUUUAAUACAAUUCCACAUUUGAAAUUUUUCGAUUAUACACAUGAAAUAUAAACAUACUGUUCCUGUUUAGAUGUGGUCUUUGCAUAACAAGCGUAAAGAAGAUGAAAGACUGGUUGAGGUACAAUGAAUUAUCAUUAUUAACCCAUUGAGUGGCAGAAAUCUUCGCUUGACAAGUAAAAUUGUAGGGCUCAUUGGGGUGCGUUGCCACUUAAAGGGUUAAGAGGAUGCAUGCGUAUUUUGUUUGGUUAACACACUGAGUGGUAGCACUCUCCACUUGACAAGUAAAAUUGUCUGGCGUUAGACAAAAUACUUAAGUAGGGUGCAUUAAAGGCUUAAACCUUGAUAGUGACUCGGCACUGGUGAUGUUAAUCUCGUAAAAUAUUGAAAUUUUCUAUUUGUUGCACCAUUUGUUUCACCACAGUUUUGAUUUGGCAAUUACAUGAAAAUUAGACCCCCGGAAUAUAUUGUUCUCGAUUUGCUGCCCAACGUGAACAAUUGCUCUCACUUCCUGCUCGGAUGCUCCAUCCUAUGUGCAUGAACUUAUCAGAGAAUCGGAAAAUUGAAGUACUUUUGCAUGGAUCGGAAAAUCUUGGGCAUGAAGAUAAUGUAAAAUUAAUGCAAAAUGUCCAAUUAUUUAUUUUAAAUACAAAACGGUUUCAGGCCGAGUAACUUUUUUUUGAAGCUUGUUUUGUAAAACAUUCGUCUGUAAAACAUUGGUGUGGUAAAUUCUUCCAUAUAAAUUUCUUAUAAUAAUAUGUUUCAUGGAAAGCUUGAGAAUGAAUACCAGAAGUUCUUCCACACUAUGAUUAUUCGAUCUUUGUUUUGAUGUAAUCCUCUUUUAUGUAAUCCUCUUUGUCUUGAUAUAAGUAACCUAAAGUUUGUAAAUAAUCCGACAUAAUCUCCCUCGAUGAGCCAUGCUCUUGGAGAAAAUGUCUGUAAUAAAAUAUGUUUAAAUAAAGAAAAGAAUACAUUGUCCUUGGCAUACAAAUUUCCUGCCGACCAACCAAGUAUUUUCGUUCUAAAUCUGUGCCUAAAAAUUGAAGGAGAGAUUUCUCUCAACUUGCUUGGCUCGACAUGCUUGUCAGGGCUUCCAGCACAAAUUCAAUUUUUGAUGUGUUUCACCCCUGUUCCUAGAAUUCCCUCAGUAUUGAGGACUUUGGAAAAUACUUCCAGUACAAGAUAAUCUUCGCAUACUAAUUCGUAUUAACAUUUUGUUUCAGGAAAGGAAGAUCACUUUCACCUAUGUUCCAUGAAAAUAUUUCUAUUGACUUUCACGAAUUUAUUGAAGUAAGUUAUAAUUCUCACUAUUUGACCCUUCAAUUAUAUGGAGGAUAACCACGUUUAAUCCUAGCUUUUCUGAACGAGACAGAACGGUUUAAUACUUUUCAAUGGUGCAAAAAUUACGUGUCUUCAUUGAACAUGCUCGCUUGAGUACAACUGCCUCUGCCAAAUAUAUUUGCACAGCUGUAUGAAUAGAUUCUAAAAUAAUCUGCGUGAGAAUUUAUGUGAUAGUAGUGCACUGGUAAAUGAUUUUUUUAUUUCAGUAUAAUCGUUUAUAACUAUUUAAAGCGUAAUAGAAGAUUCACUUCACUUCUCGUAGAAAAAAUAUAAAGCCUAACUUUCCUUAAUAUUUUUAACCAUUUUUUUGGUUUUUGAAAAAAAUGACAAAAAGUAAAGGGUAAACCUCUCACAUUUUAGUAAUUUUUAACCACAAAUGGUUAAACUAUUUUAGAAAUUUUUAACCACGAAUUGCUUUAACUUUUCGUCCAUUUUCAGCGAUUCUUACACUUUUCAUAAACGGCCAAAAAACAGCAAAAAAUAAGCUUAUGGCAUUUACUUUUCGUC
rnacentral:lncRNA from 1 species